rnacentral:lncRNA from 1 species
CAUAUAGCUUUAUGUAAACAUAUUGAAUAGUAAAUAUAUUUUUAUAAAGUUUAACUUUUUAUAUUUAUUCCUGCCAUAGUCCGGUAAUAUUCAUAUUUGCUCCCAUGGUUUGUUACCGUUAGUACUAUUUUUUUUAACAAAAGAUAAGUGAAAUAGUAUUUUUGUUAUUACAAAUAUGUCUCUCUGAAAGUUUCAACUAUUAAAAUUAUACAGAAAUAUUCUUUCAAAAAUUUUUAAUAGUUAUCUUCUUUCUUUCUACCAUCACAAAUAAUAUGAGAGGGGUAACAAUAUCAAUUUACCUUAUUCACUAAGCAGGGUUGAGCGCUUUAGUUAUGGUUAACUAUAUUUUUCGAAGGAAUAAACAUAAAAAGUUGAACUUGUAGAGAUAUAUUUACUAUUCGUUAUAUUUAUAGGGAGCUAUAUGCAAUUAACCUUAAUUUUUAUAAUUAUCUCUUUAGUUGAUGACCCAUUCAAAAGCAUAUUUUAAAUAUUUCAAUUUUUAAUAUUACUAUUUGCAUAUUCAAUAUUUAUUAUAAAUCAAAUUUUAUAUACAUAUCCAUUUUAAAAAUUAAAAUUAUUUUUAUUAUAAUAAAUUAUUUAAAAAUAAAUUAUU